CCGUCACGCUAUGAGAGGAGCCUGCGUCGGAUUAGCUAGUUGUGGGGUAAGAGCCCACCAAGGCGACGAUCCGUAGCUGGUCUGAGAGGAUGAUCAGCCACACUGGGACUGAGACACGGCCCAGACUCCUACGGGAGGCAGCAGUGGGGAAUAUUGGACAAUGGGCGAAAGCCUGAUCCAGCCAUGCCGCGUGUGUGAAGAAGGCCUUCGGGGUUGUAAAGCACUUUAAGUGGGGAGGAAAAGCGCUGCGUGAAUAUCGUAGUGCCGUGACGUUACCCACAGAAUAAGCACCGGCAAACUCCGUGCCAGCAGCCGCGGUAAUACGGAGGGUGCGAGCGUUAAUCGGAAUUACUGGGCGUAAAGCGCACGUAGGCGGUUCUGUAAGUGGGAUGUGAAACCCCCGGGCUUAACCUGGGACUUGCAUACCAGACUGCAAAGCUAGAGUAUGAGAGAGGGUGGUGGAAUUUCCGGUGUAGCGGUGAAAUGCGUAGAGAUCGGAAGGAACAUCAGUGGCG
rnacentral:rRNA from 1 species